GAUGAACGCUAGCGAUAGGCUUAACACAUGCAAGUCGAGGGGCAGCACAAGGUAGCUUGCUAUCUGGGUGGCGACCGGCGCACGGGUGCGUAACGCGUAUGCAACUUGCCCUAUACAGGAGGAUAACCCGUCGAAAGACGGACUAAUACUGCGUAUGCUCACAACUUGGCAUCAAGUGGUGAGGAAAGAAAUUCGGUAUAGGAUAGGCAUGCGUCCCAUUAGCCUGUUGGUGAGGUAACGGCUCACCAAGGCAACGAUGGGUAGGGGAACUGAGAGGUUUAUCCCCCACACUGGUACUGAGACACGGACCAGACGCCUACGGGAGGCAGCAGUGAGGAAUAUUGGGCAAUGGGCGCGAGCCUGAACCAGCCAAGUCGCGUGAAGGAUGACUGUCUUAUGGAUUGUAAACUUCUUUUAUACGGGAAUAACAAGAGUCACGGGUGACUCCCUGCAUGUACCGUAUGAAUAAGCAUCGGCUAACUCCGUG
rnacentral:rRNA from 1 species